GGUCUAAUGGUGUAGUGGUUAUCACGCCUGUCUUACAACGUAUCUCUUCGGGGACCGGUUGAGCACAGUAGGUCGCAGGUUCGAGCCCUGCUUAGAUCA